rnacentral:rRNA from 2 species
CCGAAGCGGGGGAUAACAUUUGGAAACAAGUGCUAAUACCGCAUAAUUAGUUGGAACCGCAUGGUUCCAACUUGAAAGAUGGCUCUGCUAUCACUUUGGGAUGGACCCGCGCCGUAUUAGUUAGUUGGUGAGAUAAAAGCCCACCAAGACGAUGAUACGUAGCCGACCUGAGAGGGUAAUCGGCCACAUUGGGACUGAGACACGGCCCAGACUCCUACGGGAGGCAGCAGUAGGGAAUCUUCCACAAUGGACGAAAGUCUGAUGGAGCAACGCCGCGUGAGUGAUGAAGGUUUUCGGAUCGUAAAACUCUGUUGUUAAAGAAGAACAAGUGUUAGAGUAACUGUUAACACUUUGACGGUAUUUAACCAGAAAGCCACGGCUAACUACGUGCCAGCAGCCGCGGUAAUACGUAGGUGGCAAGCGUUGUCCGGAUUUAUUGGGCGUAAAGCGAGCGCAGGCGGUUUUGUAAGUCUGCUGUGAAAGCCCUCAGCUCAACUGAGGAAGUGCAGUGGAAACUACAAAACUUGAGUACAGAAGAGGAAAGUGGAACUCCAUGUGUAGCGGUGAAAUGCGUAGAUAUAUGGAAGAACACCAGUGGCGAAGGCGGCUUUCUGGUCUGUUACUGACGCUGAGGCUCGAAAGCAUGGGUAGCGAACAGGAUUAGAUACCCUGGUAGUCCAUGCCGUAAACGAUGAAUACUAGGUGUUGGAGGGUUUCCGCCCUUCAGUGCCGCAGCUAACGCAUUAAGUAUUCCGCCUGGGGAGUACGACCGCAAGGUUGAAACUCAAAGGAAUUGACGGGGGCCCGCACAAGUGGUGGAGCAUGUGGUUUAAUUCGAUGCUACGCGAAGAACCUUACCAGCUCUUGACAUCUUCUGCCAACCCAAGAGAUUGGGCGUUCCCUUCGGGGACAGAAUGACAGGUGGUGCAUGGUUGUCGUCAGCUCGUGUCGUGAGAUGUUGGGUUAAGUCCCGCAACGAGCGCAACCCUUAUUAUUAGUUGCCAGCAUUUAGUUGGGCACUCUAGUGAGACUGCCGGUGAUAAACCGGAGGAAGGUGGGGACGACGUCAAAUCAUCAUGCCCCUUAUGAGCUGGGCUACACACGUGCUACAAUGGAUGGUACAACGAGUNGCGAAACCGCGAGGUCAAGCUAAUCUCUUAAAGCCAUUCUCAGUUCGGAUUGCAGGCUGCAACUCGCCUGCAUGAAGUUGGAAUCACUAGUAAUCGUGGAUCAGCAUGCCACGGUGAAUACGUUCCCGGGCCUUGUACACACCGCCCGUCACACCAUGAGAGUUUGUA